AUUGUCAGACCUGGGGCAGACGUGCAGAGCCGCACGUCCACGCAUCCCGCUUCUACAGGCUGUGCUGCGUGACUCAGGCAAGGACAACUCACCAAGAAGAUCAGGGGGGAAAAAAGAAGCUACAGUGAGAAGCUGACAGUUUCUCAGCAGAAGACCUGCAAUCAGUUCGGAACGAUCUGCAAAAUGUCAGCAAAUAAAGAAGCCCAUCCUCCACCAUCAGCGGGAUUCUCAUCUGGUAUUCAACCACAACAGCUUCUGCUGCAGACCCCCUGCCUGUACUAGAGGAAGACAUCAAUAGUUUCUUUCACCAUCGGAAGACUGUUUCCCCCUCAUGCAUGAGAACCUUUGUUGACACACUGACCCCUAUCUUUACUCAGAUCUUUAACAAGUACCCUCUUGCUUUAAGCAUUCCAUCACCAUCCUGGUCCCCAAGAAACACAUUUCCCCAGGUUUAAGUAAUCACUGGUAUGUCGUCCUCACUUUUGUCAUCAUGAAAUGCUUCAAGUGACUCGACUGGAGAAUUUGUAGGUUAUUGGAUGGCCCCUGCAGUUUGCUUUGUGUGCAAACAUGUUGGCAGAUGAUGCAGUCAGCUUGGGCUGCACUUCAUCCUCCUCCACCUCCACCACCCAGGGAUGUGCAC